rnacentral:rRNA from 1 species
GACGAACGCUGGCGGCGUGCUUAACACAUGCAAGUCGAACGGAAAGGCCCUGCUUUUGUGGGGUGCUCGAGUGGCGAACGGGUGAGUAACACGUGAGUAACCUGCCCUUGACUUUGGGAUAACUUCAGGAAACUGGGGCUAAUACCGGAUAGGAGCUCCUGCUGCAUGGUGGGGGUUGGAAAGUUUCGGCGGUUGGGGAUGGACUCGCGGCUUAUCAGCUUGUUGGUGGGGUAGUGGCUUACCAAGGCUUUGACGGGUAGCCGGCCUGAGAGGGUGACCGGCCACAUUGGGCCUGAGAUACGGCCCAGACUCCUACGGGAGGCAGCAGAGGGGAAUAUUGCACAAUGGGCGGAAGCCUGAUGCAGCAACGCCGCGUGCGGGAUGACGGCCUUCGGGUUGUAAACCGCUUUCGCCUGUGACGAAGCGUGAGUGACGGUAAUGGGUAAAGAAGCACCGGCUAACUACGUG